rnacentral:rRNA from 1 species
UACAGAGGGUGCAAGCGUUGUUCGGAAUUAUUGGGCGUAAAGCGCGUGUAGGCGGCUUUGCAAGUCGGAUGUGAAAGCCCUCGGCUCAACCGAGGAAGUGCGUUCGAAACUGCCGAGCUAGAGUGCGGAAGAGGCAACCGGAAUUCCCAGUGUAGCGGUGAAAUGCGUAGAUAUUGGGAAGAACACCAGAGGCGAAGGCGGGUUGCUGGGCCGACACUGACGCUGAGGCGCGAAAGCCAGGGGAGCAAACGGG